rnacentral:pre_miRNA from 1 species
GUGGCUGGCGGCUGGGUGCCUUCUACUGGUGCUGUGCAGAGGCUUUCCCUAAGGCUGCUGUGAGCCUGUAUGGUUUCCCCCUAGGCUACUAAGCUGG